GUUGAACGCUGGCGGCAGGCCUAACACAUGCAAGUCGAGCGAGCGGCGCGCGGGUGUGACAUGUCUGGGAAUUCCCCAGUCGAGGGGGAAAAAAGUUGGAAACGACUGCUAAUACCGCAUCCUAUUGGUUUGCCCAGGUGGAGUUAGCUAGUUGGUGGGGUAAUGGCGCACCAAGGCGACGAUCCCUACCUGGUCUGAGAGGAUGACCAGCAACAUGGGACUGGAGACCCGGCCCGGACUCCUCCGGAAGGCAGCGUUGGGGAAUAUUCGACAAUGGGGGAAGCCCUGCUGCGGCCCUGCCGCGUGUUUGAAAAAGGCCUUCGGUUUGUAAACCACUUUCAGCGAGGAGGCGUUACCCGCAGAAGAAGCACCGGCUAACUCCGUGCCAGCAGCCGCGGUAAUAC
rnacentral:rRNA from 1 species